UUUCCAGAAAAGCUGAGACUAUCUGGGUUUGAAAGAAAGAAAUUCGCGCUAAACGGGUGAUAAGGAAACGAGCUACUAUUUGUUUUUAAGGAGAGACAGAAUUUUGAACCACAUGGCAGCUCACAGACUACUUAUUCUAGCCACCAGGAUAAAAUGGAAACUUAUAAAUGGAGAAUUAAGCUGGAUGGAUUUGUAAAGAGGACCGUUAUAAUGAAGACCUUCAUAGCGAGCUAUAUUGAUAAGCCCUGUUAGAGGGAAUCUUCUAAAACCCCAGAAGUGACAUGCUGACUGAGUUUUUGGGAAAGGCAGAGGCCAUGGAGGUUCAGUUGUCUGCUUCAACCUGCCGCCCCUUGAUCAUCUCCUCCACCCUCAGGCCCUCCUGACUCAUCUCCACUGUGUCUCCCUGUGGUAUCCACGAUGUGACACUGGCUCACAGCAAGCCUUGGAGGUUCGUUUUUCAUCCGUGUUCGGCCACUGUGCCCUGCCUUCCCCUCUGCCGAGCUCCUCUGACUCACACACUGAACACUGUUGCCAGGGCUACCAUUUAUUACUAUUGGUCCAUAACUUUGAGCCUCAUCACCAGGAAACAGCAUGGCUGAUGGAUGUCAGAGAUAACCUGUGAUGAAAACAACAGACACACGGCACACACAUGUGGCGUUUUGUCCAGGUAAUGUAGACUGUGAAUGAGAGCACCUAUAAGGGAGUGAGGUUACUAAAGAACAGGGUGUUCAAUGAGACUGAGGAGGAAAUUUGGAGCGGAAUGAGUUGGACACUAGCAACCCCUUGUGGUCAUGUUGGGUGAAUUAGUUACAUCCUGUCUACAUGGGAAUCUACACUGCAUCCCUGUGGUUCAAAAAUAGGUAAACAAACAACUAUUGUCUUCAUUGGCUCAGAAAGGGACAUAGAAUACUUGGUAAGCUUUUUUAAAUAUGUGAUUUUACUCUCUUAUAACAGGAAGGAAUUUAAUUUAAAGGGAAGUUUUUGGAAGUAUCUACAAAUAAGACACUGUGGGGAAAAAAGUUUCACUUUUCUCAUGAAAAAAAAAACAAAAACAGAACAACAUUUUUAAGUACCGGAAUUUUUUUAUUAUCCCAUCAAAAUGGGACGUAUUGUCUGCAAAUAGCAAAGGCAAUAAACCUUUAACCCUUAGGCAUCCCUUUAACUACUACACACAUAUGUCCCUAGAGGACAUUUUCUGCACCUACUUUAAAUGCUAAAAUUCAGGAUUCAUAUUAUUUUUUAAAACUUUUUUCUGUUAUCACUUCCAGCUCUGUUCAUGACACAGCAAAUCUUUGGUUGUUGUCAUUAUUUUAUGUUUUUAACCCUUUAAAUGGGAAUUUUUUUCAAUUUUUGAUUCAGCAGAAUGAGAUAUUUUCCAUGUUAAAAAUGCUAAAUGAAUUUUCUUUUUAAUUAUUAUUUAAAAUAACUACCAACAUCAAGUUUUAUGCAUUUUCAAUUUUUGUGCAGUGUCCAGAAAUUGGUGAAAAUUAUGCAAAAGAUGGACCCCCAGGAAACAUUUUGACCCCUACU